GGUUCCCGGCGUUCCUGGGGAGUUAAUGGCGGCCGAUGUGGUGGGUGCAGUGGCCUUCUCCCGAAGGCGUCGCAGGAGCUGAGGGUGUCGCUGCACUGUGCACAAGGCGGAGGCAGGAAGAAGGAGAGAAUGGAUGUUCGAAGAUAACUAGAGACCUUUGCCUAAAUGAUGAGAAGAGGACCACAUGAACCACAGCCUCCCCCAGUCUGAUGCCAGAAGAACUAGAUGGUGCCCGGGUACCAUCACUGACCACUCUGUCAGUCUUAAAUAUCAUGGACAGCCUGGGAUCCUCAGACGUUUGUGGAAAAUCUCUAACAUGUAAGACAAAGACCAAAACGAUGAUGAGAGGAGCAGAAGAAAAAAAAAAUUUAAAUCACUAUAAUUAAUAUCCUCAUAUCAUCAGAUGGGUUUCAGCAGAGCUUCCAGACUAAGACAUACUAGGAAGAA